rnacentral:rRNA from 1 species
UACGGAGGGUGCAAGCGUUAAUCGGAAUUACUGGGCGUAAAGCGCACGCAGGCGGUUUUUUAAGUCAGAUGUGAAAUCCCCGGGCUCAACCUGGGAACUGCAAUUGAUACUGGGAAGCUUGAGUCCCGGAGAGGGGGGUUGAAUUCCGGGUGUAGCGGUGAAAUGCGUAGAGAUCUGGAGGAAUACCGGUGGCGAAGGCGGCCCCCUGGACGAAGACUGACGCUCAGGUGCGAAAGCGUGGGGAGCAAACAGG